UCCCAGGGUCCCGGGUUGGGGGGGUGGAGCAGCACUUCGUCGCCGCGGGGGUGCCGGGACUCCGGCCGCAGUGUCGCCGCCAUCACGGACUUCCUGUGGGACAAGCGCACGGGCCUCGCCGCCAGAACGAUGCCUCAUCCUCGAAGGUACCACUCCUCAGAGCGAGGCAGCCGGGGGAGUUACCGUGAACACUAUCGGAGCCGAAAGCAUAAGCGACGAAGAAGUCGCUCCUGGUCAAGUAGUAGUGACCGGACACGACGGCGUCGGCGAGAGGACAGCUACCAUGUCCGUUCUCGAAGCAGUUAUGAUGAUCGUUCGUCCGACCGGAGGGUGUAUGACCGGCGAUACUGUGGCAGCUACAGACGCAACGAUUAUAGCCGGGAUCGGGGAGAUGCCUACUAUGACACAGACUAUCGGCAUUCCUAUGAAUAUCAGCGGGAGAACAGCAGUUACCGCAGCCAGCGCAGCAGCCGGAGGAAGCACAGACGGCGGAGGAGGCGCAGCCGGACAUUUAGCCGCUCAUCUUCGAUGAAAUCGUUAGCACCUUAGGAGAGGGGACCUUCGGCCGAGUUGUACAAUGUGUUGACCAUCGCAGGGGUGGGGCUCGAGUUGCCCUGAAGAUCAUUAAGAAUGUGGAGAAGUACAAGGAAGCAGCUCGACUUGAGAUCAACGUGCUAGAGAAAAUCAAUGAGAAAGACCCUGACAACAAGAACCUCUGUGUCCAGAUGUUUGACUGGUUUGACUACCAUGGCCACAUGUGUAUCUCCUUUGAGCUUCUGGGCCUUAGCACCUUCGAUUUCCUCAAAGACAACAACUACCUGCCCUACCCCAUCCACCAAGUGCGCCACAUGGCCUUCCAGCUGUGCCAGGCUGUCAAGUUCCUCCAUGAUAACAAGCUGACACAUACAGACCUCAAGCCUGAAAAUAUUCUGUUUGUGAAUUCAGACUAUGAGCUCACCUACAACCUAGAGAAGAAGCGAGAUGAGCGCAGUGUGAAGAGCACAGCUGUGCGGGUGGUAGACUUUGGCAGUGCCACCUUUGACCAUGAGCACCAUAGCACCAUUGUCUCCACUCGCCAUUACCGAGCACCAGAAGUCAUCCUUGAGUUGGGCUGGUCACAGCCUUGUGAUGUGUGGAGUAUAGGCUGCAUCAUCUUUGAAUACUAUGUGGGAUUCACCCUCUUCCAGACCCAUGACAACAGAGAGCAUCUAGCCAUGAUGGAAAGGAUCUUGGGUCCUAUCCCUUCCCGGAUGAUCCGAAAGACAAGAAAGCAGAAAUAUUUUUACCGGGGUCGCCUGGAUUGGGAUGAGAACACAUCAGCUGGGCGCUAUGUUCGUGAGAACUGCAAACCGCUGCGGCGGUAUCUGACCUCAGAGGCAGAGGAACACCACCAGCUCUUCGAUCUGAUUGAAAGCAUGCUAGAGUAUGAACCAGCUAAGCGGCUGACCUUGGGUGAAGCCCUUCAGCAUCCUUUCUUCGCCCGCCUUCGGGCUGAGCCGCCCAACAAGUUGUGGGACUCCAGUCGGGAUAUCAGUCGGUGACGAUCAGGCCCUGGGCCCCCCUGCAUCUUUUAUAGCAGUGGGUGUCCAGUCCAGGACACUGGUGCUUUUUUAUACAAGAGAACGAGCCAGAGUUCACUCCUUCCUCCUGGCUCUCUAUAUACCUGUGAAUAUGUGAAAUAGUGUAAAUAUGAAAGAACUUGUACUUAUCACUUCAACCCCUGCCUUGUACAUAAUACUAUUCCAUCCACACAGUUUCCACCCUCACCUGCCCCCUCAUACGGAGUUGGAUGGGGGCCGAGUGAGGUAACCAGGUGGCAUCUACCCCAUGUUUUAUAAGGAAUUUUGUACAGUCUUUGUGAAAUAAAAUAACGUGCUUCAUUUGA
rnacentral:sRNA from 1 species